UACGUAUGGUGCAAGCGUUAUCCGGAUUUACUGGGUGUAAAGGGAGCGUAGACGGCAAUGCAAGUCCGGAGUGAAAGCCCGGGGCCCAACCCCGGGACUGCUCUGGAAACUGUAGAGCUGGAGUGCGGGAGGGGCAGGCGGAAUUCCUAGUGUAGCGGUGAAAUGCGUAGAUAUUAGGAGGAACACCGGCGGCGAAGGCGGCCUGCUGGACCGAAACUGACGUUGAGGCUCGAAAGCGUGGGGAGCAA
rnacentral:rRNA from 1 species